GCGGCUGUGGCGUAACGGUAGCGUAGAGGACUGUGACUCCUCUGGACCGGGUUCAACUCCCGGCAGUCGCC
rnacentral:tRNA from 1 species